UAUCAAAUGAUAAUGCAACAUAGUGAAAGGUGUACAGGGUAUUGUCGGCUGAAUCUGCAGCUAUCCUUGACUUUACGGAGCUUAAAGAGAGUGUACAUCAAACACUCCAAAUGAAUGAUAAUGUUGCUCAGUAACUGCUGGAUGUGUGCAAAUGUGCAACUCUCGGCUUCUGCAAGUUAGCCAUAUCAACCUAAAAGGUGAUAAUAUGCCAGUUUUGCUGUCACAGCUUGUUUCCACUCCCCUUAAAGUUUUAGAGGCAUUUUCAUUGGGUAUCAUUAAAAAUGGAUUCAAAAUGCAACUGCCUUUCAGAAACAUUAUUUUAGACUCAGAAACACCAAACCAAAAUCCGCUAACUGUUGCGUCACCUUACAUUGCCUGUGUUUUGGGAAAAAAAGUUGCAAAGGCCUUUCCUUUUCUCAGCUACCUUUCUCUUACUAUACUGACCUGAACUGCCAAUCAGAGAGAUUUCAUUCACAGAUGGGCUCUGUCAUCUCCAAAACCAGUUCAACAUGCUGAACUGGCUGAAAAAAGCCGUCAAGGGCCCAAGAGGGCCAGUGAUGUGGGAUACUGACCAACAGCUGACCGUUGACUUGGUGUGUCAGGGCUAAUCGACUCCCACUCAAGAGAACUCAGCAGAGACAAAGAGAGUAAACAAAACAACUGUGACGAAGAAAUAGUCUGUCACCAGACAGCAGCAGAUACCAAAUCUAACUGGAAUCCCAAACAGAGAUCCCAAUGGGUGAAAAGUGCCCUCAUCAGCCACAGCGGUGCUUCAGAACCAGAAACCAGGCGAUUGGGUGCUCAUUAAAGACCACAGGAGGUGUCAAUGGAAGCAGAGACAAUAUCACCGUCCAUUCCAGGUGCUCCCCACUGAAACAGCUGUAAAGGUCGCAGGAAAGGCUACUUGGGUCCACGCCAGCCAUUCUAAACUUGUCCCAGAACCAUCAGACAACACAGGGCCCUCCAUUCAAUUUCCAAAUACAUUUGCUAAUUCCCAGAGCAAAUUAAAAGUCACCGCAACAUGUUGAGGAUUCGUCAGGAGUGUAGGCGGAUCGCUGCUCCUAAGGUGACCAACGCACACUUCAGGAAAAGAUCUAGGAUGACAGUAUUGGCAUACUGUCUGAGGACACUAACGAAACAAUGCAAUAAGUGAGGGGUGACAACUGCGCCCUCGUACUACAUGUAUCGUGCCAAGCUACCACCUAAGUGACAGCAGUAGACAUCUGUGUCACCAACGAGGGAUCAGCGAUGGAUCCCAGAUCCUCCAGACCCUGGCAUCCAUUCAACAUACCAGGUGUCACCUCAGGUGCUCUUUAUCCUUCUUGUUCCUCCUUGCAGUAAUUUUAGUGUUUCCUUCUCAAUUUUGCCCAUGACAGUUACACAUCCGAUUCACAUAACGGCACUGCCUCAACACAGAAUACACCGAACGGUUCAUUCACAAAGACAGUGACCAAACCAGAAAUGCUCACCAAGGAACUGAAAAGGAAUGCUGUAACAGACACAACAUUUAUGAUGGACUGGUUUGACUUAAUGUUAAUCGAAAUCAUUUUUCCUGGCUGUUGUAUAUGUACUUAAUGUCUCUAUGGUAGUGUUUGCCCUGUUAGAGUGAGUCAUUAUUCCUUAUGUCAGAGGUGUUGUUGUCAGGGCUACUGAAAGGACAGCCACACACCAGAUUUUUAUUUUUUUUUGUCUUUAAUUAAAAAAACAGAAAUUUUAGAUUUUUUUGAUUCCACAUUUCAGAUUUGUCUCCCAAAUGGCUUCCACCUUAUCAUUAUCAUGAAAAACCUGAUGAAGACCUUGACACUUGAGUGUAAAUAGUAAUUUCCCCAUGCUUGCCCAUCCACAUCAGAAUGUCUAAGUUCUACAAAAACAGCUUCAUUUCAUGAAGUGUUUGCUUAAACAUGUAAUAGUUUAGUAGAUAGGUUAUGGCCAUAGUAUGGCCACAGGAGGAAUUGUAGAGGCAAAAAAAUGUCCUUUACCUUUAUAUAUUCAUCUCAGCAGAGGUAACCUCCCUUAUUUUCCUUACACUGUGCUUGCAAUUAUAAAUAUGUGACUGAAUGUGAUCUUCUUGAUCAGACUCACUCAGUACACUAGGUGUCUGAGUUCUGUCCUUUCAGCUGAAAUAGAUUGACUCUGUUAAACCCUUUUCUUUUUAAAUUAUUUUUACGUCAUUAAAAUAAACAAAA